rnacentral:lncRNA from 1 species
CCCAGAUUAGUGGCUCUCACACUCACCUUGGCUCUGGGCUCUAACUUAACUCUCCCCUUUCAUCCUUUGCCAGACUUGGAUCCAGAACAUUUGCAGUCCUGGCUUAGGCAGAGGAGCUUUUGGAGGCAACUGUCCCCCUCUCCUGCUCCCUGGAACCACAGGGAGGAACCACAGGGAGGGGUCCCUUAUCAGAAUCCAACCAGGGAGAAGGUGCUUGGCUGUGGUCUCAAGAGCAACUCUGGGUGGGCCGGGGAUUUAGCUCAGUGGUUCCGCUGCCUGCCUCGCAAGCACAAGGUCCCGAGUUUGAUCCCCGGUACCAAAACCUCCCCCAAAAAACUAAAGAGUAACUCUGGGCAAGUCGCUGGGGUCUUCCGGUGGAGAAUCUUGGCGCCCUAAGGAAAAGCUGCAUACUCAGUUUCCCCAAAUUCAGUUGGGGACCAAGAAGACUCUGGCCCUGGACAAUGACACACACCCCUUUCCUAUUUACUGUAUCUCCACAGAGGCAGCAGCAACUACCACUUGAACUAUGAGCUGCACGGAGGAGAUGCCCCCUGUAGGUGGGUGCACCUGCCCCGUGUCCCUGGGGCAGCCCGUGGGGCUGGUGGCCUGACUCCUCCUCUGUCCUGUCCCUGUAGGGGGUAUGGACACCAGAGGAUCUCCCCACUCAUCAACCAGGUGCCUGGCAAGCUCCAAAGGACUUUCAUGGGCCUGGGGGUCAGAAGGAGCUGCAGCCCCUACAAGGCCUCUAGGAGCAGAUACCUGCACCCCGAGCAGGCCAAGCCUGUGAGGACCGAGGAGCUGCGCUCCAUCCGGGGGAAGCUGAGCGAGAUCAAAGCCCAGGUGGACAGGCUGUUGGAGAGUCUGGAGCACAUGGACCAGCGCAGAGCCCAGGCUGCAGGUCAGGCACCAAAGGUGGGCCCAGGCCAUGUUCUCAGUGGGCCCCAGAUUUUCCUACCUCUGAAGAUGUGCGGUUGCCCAAGGGACUGCUGGAGCUUUGUCUGCAGGCCUCCCCUCCUCAGCGUACCUUGGGCUCCUUCUGCCUGUUCCUGUGGCUGGGGGCUCUCAUGGUUCUGGGUUGUCCUGUCACACUCAGUAGCUGUCAGGAGUCACACCUGA